AUUUUGGAUUAAUCUUUUCUCUUUUCUUUAGUUUUGUGUCUCUGGUUUAGUAUCGUAUUUUGAGGAGCUCAGUUGCCCUGACGAUGCUGUAGCUCCCUGUAAUUCUGAAUUUUGUUUUGGUCUGGUUUUGCAUCAUUUUCUAAUCAUCACGUCUUCACGCAGAGCAGAGGAGACCUUUUUGUUACUUACAACUGGAAUGUAAUGACCCACUUGGCUACAUGACGUUACGAAGGUUUUAGAUUCCAUUUAGUGAACGUGCAGAACCUUGCUGUUGUGGGUUGUUGUGUUUGUUGUCACACGGUUGCAUGAGUGUGAAGAGAUAAACAAUCCUCCCUGUAGCCUCAUGCAGUUUCACUGAUGGACAACUGGUGGCAGUAAUGUGACGAAGGGUCGCUGCCCAAUAAAAGCAACAGGAGAAGAACGAAGAGACGACAAACAGCAGGUCGUCUCCUCCAGCAGAAGAAAACCAGAUGAUGUUCCACCUCCAUCCAACAGACAUUCUAACUGGCUGGUUGGGGUUCUUCUGCAGUAUUCCCGGCUCUCUCCUGGACGAUCCCUGGACCCAGUGGAGGUGGUUGGAGACGGGAGAAGCUGUCAUCCCCGAUGGAGGACCAGUGGAAUCUUGUCACAGCACUGGACAGCUGCUUCUCUGGUGAUGAGGAAGACCACAGAUCUUCAUCCUGCUGCUGGCAGACUCUAUAACCAUCACUGCUCACAGUAAACCACAGGAGGAGAAACUGACAAGAUAUUUGCUUUGACCUCUUUGCUGCUGUAACACUGCAUAUUAUCCUGCUGUGGAAUCAAUGAAGGAUUAUUUUAUCAUGUUUUCUAUACUAUGAGUCCACAUACUACUGUGGCGC
ensembl:lncRNA